rnacentral:lncRNA from 1 species
CCACAGACUUGUCUACACGUCCUCAGGCUGGAGAGAACAUCAAGGAGGGAAUUUUAUGACUGCAAAUCGGUCUUUCCAAAAUAAUAUUCCUAAUGACAGCUACUGUUUACGGAGUGCUUCCUCUGCGUGCCGGGCCUGCACUUGCUGAGCACCGUGCAUCCGGUUGCUGUGGAUGGUCUGAAGAAAACCACUGAUGUAAGAUAAUCAUCAUUCAUUAAAUUCUAACCCCACCCCUAUGAGGCAACUCAAACGUGUUCUUCUCAAGACAGUGGCAGAGUGCAAGAGCGCGAGUGGGAAUAAGUCUGGGCACCACAGUUGGAGCAGGGAGAGGACAUUUCCAACUGUGUUACUUCAUGGAGAAAGUCAUCUGAGAUGGGCCUUAGAAGAUGGGCUGGGUUUCCGUUUCCAAGAUAUGACAGUGAAGCAGAUGAACCCAAGAGAGGGUGCAAGCUGGAGAGAAAGACCAGGGCAUUCCACCCACAACCUAGGACAUAGGAGGGUAACGAGGGCUUCCCCACAGGAAUGGAAGAUGAGAAGCCAGAUUCCCUGACUCCCGCCCACCGUCUGACCCCAGAGCAGCCCCAUGUUAGAUCUCUGAUUGGUUCCAGGACCACAGUUUCUUUUUCUCCAUGAUUCAUCGACUCUCAAAUGCAACUAUUUCUUCACCCUGUCAUUGUGAGACACUCAAUCCAAAAUCUUUUUGAAAUCAAGAGAUAAUUUUCCUUGCUGCUAUGUUGGGAGCAGAAUAUGAUUCCC